rnacentral:rRNA from 1 species
UACGAAGGGGGCUAGCGUUGCUCGGAAUGAGCUGGGCGUAAAGGGCGCGUAGGCGGCGCAGUUAGUCAGGCGUGAAAUUCCUGGGCUCAACCUGGGGACUGCGCUUGAUACGGCUGUGCUUGAGGAUGGAAGAGGCUCGCGGAAUUCCCAGUGUAGAGGUGAAAUUCGUAGAUAUUGGGAAGAACACCGGGUGGCGAAGGCGGGGUCUCUGGGCAGUAACUGA